GAUGAACGCUGGCGGCGUGCCUAAUACAUGCCAGUCGAGCGAACAGACGAGGAGCUUGCUCCUCUGACGUUAGCGGCGGACGGGUGAGUAACACGUGGAUAACCUACCUAUAAGACUGGGAUAACUUCGGGAAACCGGAGCUAAUACCGGAUAAUAUAUUGAACCGCAUGGUUCAAUAGUGAAAGACAGUUUUGCUGUCACUUAUAGAUGGAUCCGCGCCGCAUUAGCUAGUUGGUAAGGUAACGGCUUACCAAGGCAACGAUGCGUAGCCGACCUGAGAGGGUGAUCGGCCACACUGGAACUGAGACACGGUCCAGACUCCUACGGGAGGCAGCAGUAGGGAAUCUUCCGCAAUGGGCGAAAGCCUGACGGAGCAACGCCGCGUGAGUGAUGAAGGUCUUCGGAUCGUAAAACUCUGUUAUUAGGGAAGAACAAAUGUGUAAGUAACUAUGCACGUCUUGACGGUACCUAAUCAGAAAGCCACGGCUAACUACGUG
rnacentral:rRNA from 1 species